rnacentral:rRNA from 1 species
UACAGAGGUCUCAAGCGUUGUUCGGAUUCAUUGGGCGUAAAGGGUGCGUAGGCGGUGAGGGAAGUCUGGUGUGAAAUCCCGGGGCUCAACCCCGGAACUGCACUGGAUACUGCCUUACUUGAGCACUGGAGAGGGAACUGGAAUUUACGGUGUAGCAGUGAAAUGCGUAGAUAUCGUAAGGAAGACCAGCGGCGAAGGCGAGUUCCUGGACAGUUGCUGACGCUGAGGCACGAAGGCCAGGGGAGCAAACGGG